rnacentral:rRNA from 1 species
AGUGAACGCUGGCGGUAGGCCUAACACAUGCAAGUCGAACGGCAGCACAGUAAGAGCUUGCUCUUACGGGUGGCGAGUGGCGGACGGGUGAGGAAUACAUCGGAAUCUACUUUUUCGUGGGGGAUAACGUAGGGAAACUUACGCUAAUACCGCAUACGACCUACGGGUGAAAGCAGGGGAUCUUCGGACCUUGCGCGAUUGAAUGAGCCGAUGUCGGAUUGGCUAGUUGGCGGGGUAAAGGCCCACCAAGGCGACGAUCCGUAGCUGGUCUGAGAGGAUGAUCAGCCACACUGGAACUGGGACACGGUCCAGACUCCUACGGGAGGCAGCAGUGGGGAAUAUUGGACAAUGGGCGCAAGCCUGAUCCAACCAUACCGCGUGGGUGAAGAAGGCCUUCGGGUUGUAAAGCCCUUUUGUUGGGAAAGAAAAGCAGCAGGUUAAUACCCCGCUGUUCUGACGGUACCCAAAGAAUAAGCACGGGCUAACUUCGUG